rnacentral:ncRNA from 1 species
GGUUCGGGUGCGUGAUUUGGGAUGUCACGCAAGAAUAGGACCAGACCCCCACUGGUGAGCAGACCAGCCCGGUCCCCGACGGUGCUGC